UCGCUCUUAACUGUUGUCAGUGGCUCAUGUAGCGUUGAAGGUUUUACUUAUCAUUGUAGAGUAUUGUGUCAUUUUUAUCUCAUGUGUGUAGUGUUUCUUUCUUCGAUAUGUUUUUCCUAUCAAUUUAAACAUAUUUAAAUUUUAUGAGAGCCAAUUUGGUAGAGUUUAGUUCAUAUAUGGUUUCUCCUUAAUAACAACAUUAGUUCCCUCCUUAAUAUGCCCCAUUUGAUGGGUGUGAACAAAAUAGAUGUACAAGACGUCAAUAAGACUUCCAUAACCUUCGUAAUCAAGGACGUAAUCAGGAUCAGCAGCACUAUGUGUUCUGUGGAACUGCACACCGUGGCGGAAUUAAAUUUUUUUUUGUUUCUUCAAUAUUGUGUAUUAUAAAAUUUGAAUGGAUAUUAGAUCUGUGUGGAGAAGUUCUACGGUUAAUUAUUACUGGUGUGUGCCCUGUGCCAAGCACGACCCCCUAUUUGUUUUAAGCAUUGCAUCUUGAACAUGCCUCCCUCUAAGGUUUAAUACGUUUGAUUUGAUUAUUGUAUGCUUAAAAUUAGAAAUCAUACUUACGGGUCUAUACUUAAAAGGGUACCGUUCAUGAUAUAAUAAUUUACUGUAGCAUGAACAGUAUAAGAGUGAAUACUUUGCACAACAUGUCAAUAGGACUACUGUAGAUUUAUUAGCCAGGUGUUUAUUUCAAGCAAUGGAUGAUCAAAGAAGCUCCCAGCUUGACCUAUAAUAACUUAGCCAACUAGGAUGAAGAAAGUCAAUUACUCCCUAGACAUACUUGUCCUUGGUUUGGAUAGCUUGUUAGCUACCCUCUUUAUACAGCGCCACCCGUAUUUCUCCAUUUCAGAAUUGUAGUUUAUUUGAUGUUUCCGCUGCAAUUAUGCUAUUAGGCUACAUGUCUACGUUUUUUGGAAGACGUUAUUGCCAAUUUGUCAUGUACACCAUCCAUCUCAUUAUAGAAGAAAAAUGUUAAAUGAACGACAUUUUUUGUCCUACAAGUGGAAACUGGGUCAUGAGGAACUCCACAGGUGACUCUUUCGAGUGCACUUGUGUCUGACAACUGUAAUCAAAAAACAAGGAUUCCUCAAUAGAAAUUUUCGUGUUUUAAAUUCUUUAUGUUCAAUUUCUCCAUAAUGGGAUUUAUGUUAUAGAUUCUCCUUGUUCAAACCGAGAAAUAAUCUGAACUAGGUAAGCUAUCUAUGUACCAUGGCUCCUUAUCUUUGUCAUGUAUUUCUUUUUCUUGGUAGAAGAAAUCUUGUAAAGGACUUCAUUUGUCGUGCCAAGGAUUAUAGUAUUUGUACUGUACACUAUACCUUUGGCACAAUUAAACAGGACAAUUAAACAGGAAUAGUAUCAUGUAUGCAGUUUGACAUUGUUUCUUCCACGGAGAUGGCAAGUUUCAAAAAUACUAGCAAUGUCGAUUUGCCGAGCCCGAAAUAAGAAAGAAUGAAAAAUUUAGAGCUGGUUAGUUAACUGAACUUGUAUCCCAAAACGACUAUAACAAGGGGAUUUUCCAACUCUAGUGUUUGUUUAUACAAGGGGAGUAAUGAUAGGAUUCCUUGCCUCAUUAUUCAGGGUAAUCUUCUCUUUUUGUCCCACCAUCUGAGAACUGUACUACAUUAAUUCUCACUGUUGAUAAUCUUGCUCAUACAUGACAAACGGCUAGUCACACAGACACGGCUACAGAUGUGGGUACAGGACAAAACCAAAUUAUAAAAGAUAGGGUGCGGGAAUAGGGCUAUGUGUGUAAGUAUAUAUGUGUAUAUGCAUGCAUACAUGCAUGCACCCAUGCAUAUAGUUGCACACACGCGUGCCAUACAGGCACGUGAGUGUUUGCAUUAAAAAGAGUAUAUUUCUAGAUUAUUGAACCUUGUGGUGCAUAACUUACUCAGCUUCACACCAAAAACAGUUUGUGCUAGACAUGAAUUAAUUUCUAUUGCGUUAUAUGACUGAAGACAAGAAGUCUUGUGCUUCGACAUGGAUUUUCUAAGCUUAUGUUGCAGAACCCUUUGGUUUCAUGUUUAAACUACACUAUCUCAUGUUUUGGUAACCUUUCACAACCUAUUCAUUUGGAAACGUUAAAAUGCAAGCACUGUGAUCUGCAAUCGUGUGUGGUUCAGCUAAUUAAUAAUAUUCUAUUCCAUAUUUAUCCUUUUAAUGUAUAUGCUAUUUCCUUAUAGAUGAUUCUUAAAGGUGAUCUUAUUCUGAAGAAUUUAGACUAAAGGAUUUGAAUUUUAACAGUGACAUUAAAGUGCAGUUGAACAAUGGGUAAGAGGAAAUCAAGGGCAAAGCCGCCUCCAAAGAAGCGGAUGGACAGGCUGGGUACUGUCCUCUGUUGAUUAUCUUUUGAGAUCUUAAAAAUUAUCCUGGUGCUGGAUAUUUUCCUAUACAAGCUGGGACUGUUCUCUGUAUUCAGUGUAUUGUUCCCUUUUUGUGCUAAGUUUUGCAGGCACAAUGUUUGUUAUUUUCUUCAGUGAUAUGAAGAACUUGAUUGGUGAAGCCGCGUGCAGGAUUUGCAAAGAAAGUUUCAGCACUAGAGUCACUGGGCUUACAGAGCCUAUCAACAUAUACAGUGAGUGGAUAGACUGAGUGUGAACAACCUGGAAGACGAUGUUGCCUAACCGAACAGUCUUUUCAAGAUGGAGAAUGCUUAAAACUGCGACUAGCUAGUUUCGUAUGCUAUUUGCGCUCUAGUAAAUGCAACAUACGUAUGCAUACUGUGAAAACUAGGGUUGUGAGUUGUAACAUAUUUCCGAAUGCUAGAAUAUAAUAAAUGUACCAGGGUGUUUUGCUUC